UUGGAAAGGGUAAUGAAAAAUGUUUCAGGUAUAAGGGUAGACAUAUCUGGUGAUAAGAAAUAAAAGGUUCAACAUACACGGCUCAAAUUGGCAAACUAAUGAUAUCAUUUUUCUUUGGGAAACAUGGUUAUUUGGGCCAUAGUGGUAAACCUAAUGCCUCUAUCAUUUCCAAGUUCAUGCAAUCAAUGACAAACAUUUCGAAAGAUCGUUACGCAAGUUCUAGAGAUGUAUCUCACAUAAGUUCAUCACACAUGAAAGAAUAGGAGUGUAUGAAAAAUGCACACACUUUCAAUCGGCUCAAAAACUCACAUAGGAUGUAUAUGGUCACUAAAUUCACAUAUGAAGCUUUAAGUCAUACUUUAGUUUCACAUUAACAAGGCUAUGUGCAUUUGGUUUUUCAAAGAUGGUCAAACAUGUACAAAACUAACAAGAGAAUUAGGAAUUUCACAAAAUACAUGUUAACUAAGUUCUUGAUGAUCAUGGUUCAAAUUUGAUCCAAUUAUAUCAUUGGGUAGGGAAACUAACAAAAAAUCUAAUUCAAAACAAUAAGGGAAACAAGACAAUAUUUUUGGAUUUUUUAAAUUUUCCGAUUUUUUUUUUUUUUUUUUUUUUAAAGAAAACAAAACUAAUUAAGAACACAAAAAACAACAACACAGUUUUUUUUUAUAGUUUUGUUUUGUUUUUUUUUUUUAUUUUUAUUUUUUUAAAAGAAAACAAAACUAAUUAAGAACACAAAAAAAACAAAACUAAUUAAGAACACAAAAAACAACAACACAGAGACAAAUGAAAUUCUAGAGAUUUCUACCCCCACACUUAAACUUGACAUUGUCCCCAAUGUCAGAAAACA
rnacentral:lncRNA from 1 species